UACGUAGGGUGCAAGCGUUGUCCGGAAUCACUGGGCGUAAAGGGUGCGUAGGCGGUUCUUUAAGUCAGGGGUGAAAUCCUGGAGCUCAACUCCAGAACUGCCUUUGAUACUGAAGAUCUUGAGUCCGGGAGAGGUGAGUGGAACUGCGAGUGUAGAGGUGAAAUUCGUAGAUAUUCGCAAGAACACCAGUGGCGAAGGCGGCUCACUGGCCCGGUACUGACGCUGAGGCACGAAAGCGUGGGGAGCAAACAGG
rnacentral:rRNA from 1 species